UUCACUAUACUUACUCCCUUUCAGAAAAAUAAUGUAUAUUCUGUGCCACUUUUAUGUUUGAAGUGUGUAGUCUGUUUUUUGAUUUUGAUUUUACAGGGAGGUUUUAGUUAAGAGAUUGCCAUGGGUCUCAGAAGGGACUUCGAAGUUUGGACUUUAACCAGUGUUGAGACUGUGAUAGUGUAUGGGGACUUUUGAAGUUGGAGUUUCUAAAUUCUGGGUCCUGGACUUUCAGGUCAGGGCAGUAUUUGGUCAUCAAUCAAACCAAGGCUUCCCUUGCCCUGUAUCAUUUGUCCAGAAGACAUGAGAUUCUGGGAAGGAGUAUGACCCCUUCAGCCUGGUUCUUCACUUGUCCCCCCUACAUGCCACAGCCAGGCCUGCAACAUGCUGCCUGCCCUGUUAAUCUGAAGUACGGCACAGUAGCAGCCAUCCAAGUAUUAUUCAUGACAACCUGCAAGAUAAAAGGAUAGAAAAAUUAAAGCUUUUCUCUGUCUCCAUGAUCACUACUUUUCAAAUUGUCUGGAAGAACACACCGCUUCUACCCUGUGUCUUAGCGAGCAAGAGCUCUUGAAAUGAUGAUGGAGCACACAUUCAGAACCCUUUUGUUCACACAGAAACUUCAGAAUGAAAACAUACGUUGAGACUAGAGCCGGAACCUUCCCAGUUGGCCUCUGUGUCUCUUCUGCUGUGGCAGUCUUGGAGCCUGCUUGGUGGGACUAGUUGCAGAACUGAUUAUGUGUGAAUCCCAAGCUGAUAGCUCCUCAUCACUUCUCAUCCCCAAACUGUAUCAAAGCUCGUCAUUGGAAAGUGCAUUUACACUUCUCUUCAUCUCCUCCCCUACUUUCUUACCCCAGGAAGAAGUUUUAUCACCUCUCUAAGGAAUUUAAUAGCUGUGAAUUACAAGCCCCACAGCUAUGCAUACCUGCCUUAGCGUCUCUAAAGAGCCAGGUUGAUUGUUUUCCUUCUGCAAAUUCAAUGUCAAGUGUUUACAGAAUCUACACAUCCUACAUCAGUGCUCCCAAUGCCAAGCUUCAGGCUUCAAAACACCCAGAACGUGGGAGACUUCCAGUGAGUUUCAUUUGGCUCUUGUAAGAUGCAAACGCGGAGCCAGAAAUGCAACAGUUGGUGUAAACUGUAGCCUCUGUCCCUCACUUUCCAAAACUCCAUGUGCCUGGGAGUUGCUGAUUCUGCCCUGUCUUAUUCCCCCAAAAGAGAAAACAAUGUCCUGCUCAAAGGGCUGGCACCCUGUGUCCGUGGGCUUCCCACUGGAAAUCAAGUUAGGAAGAGGAACAAUGGCAUGGCGUCUAAUAAUGUCUGAGCUCUGAAUCCACUGUCUGUGGCCCUGUUUCUUUGUACUUACGUCAGCAUAGGACACCAUGUGUCUGGAGCAGCAGACAGAACAAGCUGCUCAACUCACAGCAUCCAGGGGACAAAGAGGGAAGACGCAGGAAUCCCACAAUGCCUUUGAGGACACACUGACCAUAACCUAACCUCCACCCCUUGACUCUCCUCUUGAAGGUCGCACCACUUCCAAAAAAACAAAUGAACUGAGGACCAAGCCUGUAACAAAUGGACCAAGUUCACUCACACAGAGAAGAGACUAAAUAAAUUAGAAUUUUUUUUUUCAGAAUAGUAAGAUAGAUAAAGAAUGAGUGGGUCAGACACAUCCCCAGCUAAUGCUGUACACAGGUGAACACUGUAGAGAAAAGCAGCUUUUGAACAGACCUAAGAGAGACUGUGAUGACUGCGAUCAGAUAAAUAGCCUCUGCAGGGUGGUCCACUGUCAGGGGUCGACUUACACAUUAGCGUGUUGAUGGGCCAGAGAAUCUCUUGCCAUUUCCAGCAGGGCUUUCUGACUCUGGCCGGGGAGCAGACAUCUUGGUGAGUGGGUAUCUGGUGGAGAGCAAGCAGUCAAGAAUAAGCCAACAAGCACAUAACUGGCUCUAGAACAAGCACACAGAAAGAGACUGCUUGCUUCCAGAAGCCUAAAGACACCGUAGAACAAAGAAAGAAUCAACACCAGGAAGACCAUUCUACCUAGGCCCCAAGCAGGCCCAUUGUGGCCAAAGUUAAAGCUGGGUCCUGUAGCCUGGCUAUGGAUAUGCAUUCUGGUAGCUAAGAACCUGCUGAUUUCCAUGGUCUCAUAGCCAAAGGGUACCUUCUGGGCUUUCUGGUAGAGUGUGAAAAGGAAGGGCUUUGGGGAAGGGAGCUACUUCAUCAAGUUAAUAAACACAGCACCCAGGAAAGCCCUCUAUCCAUCAAGCAGGCCAGAGCAGAGCAGGCAGAGCAAUCGAUAGCAGGGAGCUGUGUGGCGGGCUGAGCGCUGUCUGCAGGCAGCAAGCAAUUAUGGGCCAUUCACUUAAUCUUAAAACAUGGCUGGGGGAGGUAUCACGUCACGCCUGCCUUUAGAGAGAGCAACUGUGGGAUUACUGGGUAGUCUAAGCACCUGCCCCUAGUGGCUCAGCUUCUUUGGGAAGCUGCCAUGGAGCCCUGGAAUCAUGAUAGCAAGGUCCUGUCUCUUCACCCUGAUGCUUUCCCAAGCAGAAAUCUCAGUGUGUGAUUCAAAAAUUCAGAGAUCCUCCUUGGGUGUUUGAAGCAGAGUGGGCCCUGGCAGACCCUCCAGACCACCAUAGCUCCUUUCCAGUG